AACCUACACCCGACCCAGCAAUGGAUGAGGUCUCCCUCCUCAUUCUAUAGGUGAAGCUUCAAUCCGAUGCCAAACUCAAUACCUACCACUGCAAUAUCCUACUCGACGAUGUCAAUGGUCACAGCUACUGCAUGUUACCCGAGAGCAUAGAUCCGUCAUUGAGAGACAAUCGGAGAAAUUCUCAUGAGACCAGAUGUGAGCAGAAGAAACCCAAGCAGCAGGAUUCUGCGCAGAUGCAAAAGCACAAAGUUGCACAAUGAGGCUAUCUCACUGUGUCCGAUCCGCACGUCAGCUGAAGAAGACCCAAAGGAGCAUAGACCAAUCUUCGUGUUUGAUGAAACUGAAUGCAAGUACGUGGUUAUUCAUGGCUACUCUCCCCUCAUAGCUAGUUCCAUGCCUGUCCAGCCUCCCUGGCAUAUUCCUUAGCAGCCGCAUCAACACCUCCUCAAACUGCCCACUGGUCACUCAGUAAUGAGAUCCUGGAAAGCUCAAAGCAGAUGGAUUUGAGGCAGAGCCGUGCACUCCGAAACGCAAGACACUGGUUUUCUGACCCUCCAGACUAGCAGAAAGCAAGCUGAGCUAGCGAGACAAAGACGUACAUCGCCAAACAACACCCAUGGCACUCCCCCUUCCCAACAAACAAGUGCUCUUCUGCCAAAAUGUUGAUGAUGGUUUGCGGCUUGCAGCUGAGCCAAUUCUGUUGAAGAGAACCAUCAACAGUAAGCCUGGCUACUUCAUGUGCUAAGCCAUUCCCUUCUCUAGGCAACCAGCUAGAGGUGAGGAAGAUGCAAUUCUAGAAUUUGAAGCUGCAAGGAGGCUUCCAGUAUAGUCUCUGAAUACUGCCGCUGUUGCUCCUCCAGAGUACACUUCGCGAAACGCUGCAUCCACAUUGCACUUAAUCCAUCCUCGCGGAGGCGGUCUCCAGGUAUUUUCUGGCUGAAAUUGAGGGAGCUGAGCAAAAAUCUGACUUAGGCUGAAAAAGGACUGCUGAUGCUGUUGGAUCCUGACCUCCCUGCACUCGAAAUAGAUUUUCUGGAGCUAUAGGAGUCCAAUUGGCGCGCUCUCAACGGCGUUGGAAAGUAGACAUCCAGGGCUUUCCAGCAAUAUAUAAUAGUCCAUACCUUGCGCAAGGAUAGACGACGUAACUUGGCGUUAAACGCCAAGUUCAUGCUGCUGUCUGGAGUUAAACGCCAGAAAAACGUCAUUAUCCAGAGUUGAACGCCCAAA